ACGGCCAAAUCAUGUUGAAACACCGGUUUUCGUACGAUCACCGAAGUUAAGCAGUAUUGAACUUGGUCAGCACAUAUAUGGGUGACCACUUAGGAAUACCAAGUGCUGUAAU